rnacentral:tRNA from 3 species
GGGCCGUUAGCUCAGUUGGUAGAGCAGCUGACUCUUAAUCAGCGGGUCCACGGUUCGAGUCCGUGACGGCCCACCA